rnacentral:rRNA from 1 species
AGUGUAGGUGGUAUCACAAGUCAGAAGUGAAAGCCCGGGGCUCAACCCCGGGACUGCUUUUGAAACUGUGGAACUGGAGUGCAGGAGAGGUAAGUGGAAUUCCUAGUGUAGCGGUGAAAUGCGUAGAUAUCAGGAGGAACACCAGUGGCGAAGGCGGCUUACUGGACUGUAACUGACACUGAGGCUCGAAAGCGUGGGGAGCAAACA